rnacentral:rRNA from 1 species
GAAUUUGAUCCUGGUUCAGGAUGAACGCUGGCGGCGUGCCUUAAGCAUGCAAGUCGAACGAAAGCGGUAGCAAUACCGAUUUAGUGGCAGACGGGUGAGUAACGCGUAGGAAUCUACCUCUGGGCGGACCAUAGCUUUCCGAAAGGGAAGGUAAUAGUCCAUAGUCUCGUAAGAGUAAAGCGAUCAACUUCGCACCGAGAGAGGAGCCUGCGUCCUAUCAGCUUGUUGGUGGGGUAAAAGCCUACCAAGGCGAUGACGGGUAGCUGGACUGAGAGGUCGGUCAGCCACAACUGCACUGAAACACGGGCAGUACACCUACGGGUGGCAGCAACUGGGAAUAUUGCGCAAUGGGGGAAACCCUGACGCAGCGACGCCGCGUGGAGGAUGAAGGCCUAUGGGUCGUAAACUCCUUUUGCCAAGCCGUUCACAGCUUGGAGAAUAAGCCUCUACUAACUACGUGCCAGAAGUCUCGGUAAUACGUAGGAGGCAAGCGUUAUCCGGAUUCAUUGGGCGUAAAGUGUGCGUAGGCGUUUUGAUAAGUUGUAUCUUAAAUACUGAGGCUCAACCUCGGGACUGGAUACAAUACUAUUAAAAUUGAGGAUUGACAGGGAUGCUAGAACAGUAAGUGUAGCAGUGAAAUGCGUUGAUAUUUACUGGAAUACCAAAGGCGAAGGCAGGCAUCUGGGUUUUUCCUGACGUUGAGGCACGAAAGCUAGGGUAGCGAAACAGAUUAGAUACCUGUGUAGUCCUAGCUGUAAACGAUGUCCGCUAGCUCUGUGUUUUUGCACGGGGUGUAAGCUAACGCGUUAAGCGGACCGCCUGGGGAGUACGGUCGCAAGACUAAAACUCAAAGGAAUUGACGGGGACCCGCACAACCGGUGGAGCGUGUGGUUUAAUUCGUUACAAAACGAAGAACCUCACCAGGGUUUGACAUGACACCGUACAUUUCCCAAGAAACUGGGAGAAAUCCGCAAGGAUGGUGCCACAGGUGCUGCAUGGCUGUCGUCAGCUCGUGCCGUGAGGUGUUCCCUUAAGUGGGGAAACGAGCGCAACCCUUGUCUAAUGUUAAAUAUUCAUUAGAGACGGUCCCGUGUUUUACACGGGAAGGAAGGAGAGGCGGACGUCAAGUCAGCAUGGUCCUUAUACCCUGGGCUACACACACACUACAAUGGCGAAUAACAACGUGUUGCUAGCUAGUAAUAGUAUGCUAAUCACUAAAAUUUCGCCUCAGUUCAGAUUGGGGUCUGAAACCCGACCCCAUGAAGUCGGAAUCGGUAGUAAUCGUGGAUCAGCAAGCCGCGGUGAAUACGUUCUCGGGUCUUGUACACACCGCCCGUCAAGGCAGCAAAGUCGGGGGUGGCCGAACUGCGCAUUUUGCGUGGGAGGCCAAAUUCGGCGAUGAGGCUUAAGUCGUAACAAGGUA